rnacentral:RNase_P_RNA from 1 species
AGUAAGCCAGACAAUCGCUGCUGAGAAAUCAGGAGAGGAAAGUCCGAGCUCCAUAGGGCAGGGUGCUGGGUAACUCCCAGUGGAGGCGACUCUAAGGAAAGUGCAACAGAGAGAUACCGCCGUGCAAGGGGUAACCCUUGUAGGGUAAGGGUGGAAAGGUGAGGUAAGAGCUCACCAGCGCAUUGGUGACUUUGCGGCUAUGUAAACCCCAUCUGGAGCAAGAUCGAAAGCGGGACAUUAUGAGGCUGCCCGUCUCGUCCCCGGGUGUAUCGCUUGAGCUUAUUAGUAAUAAUAGGCCUAGAUAGAUGAUUGUCAAAUACAGAACUCGGCUUAUAGACUUAU